GAUAGAUAGAUAGAUAGAUAGAUAGAUAGAUAGAUAGAUGCUUUAUUCAUCCCCAAGGGGAAAUUCACAGUAUCCAGCAGUAUCCACAAACUGAUAAUAUUAAUAAUAAUAAUAAUAAUAAUAAUAAUAAUAAUAAUAAUAAUAACAACAACAACAAGAGGAGGUCAAUUUAGAAGAACUAAUAGAAUAAAGUAGAAUAAAUAGCUAAAUAACGAGCAUUGGGUAAGUGUCCUAAUGUGCAUGGUCAAAUCCAGUGCUUGAAAGGCCGAAGGUGCAUAAGUAGUGUCAGUCAGUCAGUCAGUCAGUCAGUCAGUGGUCACAUAAUGCAGGGUGCACUGCGUCAGGAGGUAUAGUUAACUAAAGGGCAGACACAUUGGAGUUUAGAGUUUUCCUCCCCUGGGUGGAGUUGAAGAGCAAACAUCUGGAAACUUCCAGAAAGAAGGAACGCUGAGAGUUGGACAGCAGGAGAAAGAUCUCACUGAAAGGUUCUGUCGGUUGAGAGGAAACCUGCUCUUCAUCCUCAACAAACAGGUGACAGCCAGAGUGUGUGUGUGUGUGCACUUUAACCUAAACCACAGAGAAACCUGUGACACAUUAACCCUGUGUGUGUGUGUGUGUGUGUGUGUGUGUGUGUGUGUGUGCGUGUGCGUGCGCGAGNNNNNNNNNNNNNNNNNNNNCGAAGGUGCAUAAGUAGUGUCAGUCAGUCAGUCAGUCAGUCAGUCAGUGGUCACAUAAUGCAGGGUGCACUGCGUCAGGAGGUAUAGUUAACUAAAGGGCAGACACAUUGGAGUUUAGAGUUUUCCUCCCCUGGGUGGAGUUGAAGAGCAAACAUCUGGAAACUUCCAGAAAGAAGGAACGCUGAGAGUUGGACAGCAGGAGAAAGGUCAGACAUGUUCUACUGUUCUAGUCUGUACUGUUCUAGUCUGUGCUGUUGUAGUCUGUACUGUUCUAGUCUGUUCUAGUCUGUACUAGUCUGUUCUAGUCUGUACUGUUGUAGUCUUUUCUAGUCUGUUCUGUUCUAGUCUGUUCUAGUCUGUACUGUUCUUUUCUGUUCUAGUCUGUACUGUUCUAGUCUGUUCUGUUCUAGUUUGUACUGUUCUAGUCUGUUCUAGUCUGUACUGUUCUAGUCUGUUCUGUUUUAGUCUUUUCUAGUCUGUUCUGUUUUAGUCUGUUCGGUUCUGUACUGUUUUAGUCUGUACUGUUCUAGUCUGUUCUGUUUUAGUCUGUUCUGUUCUAGCCUGUUCUGUUCUAGUUUGUACUGUUCUAGUCUGUUCUAGUCUGUACUGUUCUAGUCUGUUCUUUUCUAGUCUGUUCUGUUCGAGUCUGUUCUAGUCUGUACUGUUCUAGUCUGUUCUGUUCUGUACUGUUCUAGUCUGUUCUGUUCUGUACUGUUCUAGUCUGUUCUGUACUGUUUUAGUCUGUACUGUUCUAGUCUGUUCUAGUCUGUACUGUUGUAGUCUGUUGUAGUCUGUACUGUUCUAGUCUGUUCUGUUUUAGUGUGUUCUGUACUGUUCUAGUCUGUUCUAUUCUAGUCUGUACUGUUCUAGUCUGUACUGUUCAAGUCUGUUCUGUUCUGUACUGUUCUAGUCUGUUCUGUACUGUUCUAGUCUGUUCUGUUUUAGUCUGAUCUAGUCUGUACUGUUGUAGUCUGUUCUGUUUUAGUCUGUUCUGUUCUGUACUGUUCUAGUCUGUACUGUUCUAGUCUGUUCUGUUUUAGUCUGUUCUGUUCUGUACUGUUUUAGUCUGUCUAGUCUGUUCUGUUCUAGUCUCCUUUGUUCUCCUGUGUUCUCACUCUGCCGCUCUGAUUCUGGCUGCCUUGCUCCGCGGCUCGUCAGCAGCAGUCUUAUUUCCAUCCCCUGACUCACUCUGACUUUACUUCCUGGAAACAUUUUACAGAACUGAAAGGUUCCUCUCUCUCUCUCUCAGCGGGGAACGUGUUCCCUUAUGUUCUCUAAUGUUCUCUAACUGUCGUCUUCUUUCGCAGAUCUCACUGAGAGGUUCUGUCGGUUGAGAGGAAACCUGCUCUUCAUCCUCAACAAACAGGUGACAGCCAGACUUUAACCUAAACCACAGAGAAACCUGUGACACAUUAACCCUGUGUGUGUGUGUGUGUGUGUGUGUGUGUGUGUGUGUGCGUGCGCGCAGGGCGGUAAGCUGGUGGAGGUGCUGCUGUUGGAGAGAUGUGAGGUUGUGACGGACGAUGACAGACGACUGGCUGUCAGUAAGUGACGCACACACUCUGAGGUUGCACCCCGGGGCUAACGUUGCACGAGCAGGACAUUUUCUCCAUAAAAUAUGAUUUCACCCGAAUCACUGAUGAAGUUGUGUUUUUGUAAAGUAAUCAAUAAAGUUUGGGGUUUUCUUUGGUUAUUUCCUGUUUUAUUUUAUAGGUUUACUCAAGUCUUGUUUUGAUUUACUUCUUGUCUUUGUUUAUUUUGUGUAUUUAGUCUUUGUUUUCUUGGUUCCGUGUCAGUUCCUUCGGUCACUGGAUACUUUUGCAUUAUUGGGUUUUCUGACUUUAGUUCGAAUACAAUCCUGAGUUUCCUGAGUUGUAACAGAGUCCUGCUGUUAGCUAGCUACAAAGGAGGGAUAUGCACUCUGAACUUAACAUUGACAAACUGAAAUUUAUUAAAGAAUUGAACAAUAAUAAUAACAACAAUUAAACUAAACUAGAACACCAGGAAACGGCAGAAAUUAGACAAAACUUCCACGUUAAAAUCAAAAUGGUCCACUUCCUGUUUGGUUUAGGAUAUGGCUCCAAGAGGCUUUUGUACAUCUUGACAUGUGCCUGUUGAUUUUGUGUUCAGGCUCUUAUCAAACAUGAGCAUUUUGGUGCAGAUUGGACAA
rnacentral:lncRNA from 15 species